rnacentral:rRNA from 1 species
AAUCAACGCUGGCGGCGUGCCUCAGACAUGCAAGUCGAACGCGAAAGUUUCCUUCGGGGGAUGAGUAGAGUGGCGCACGGGUGAGUAACACGUAGGUAAUCUACCUUUGGAUGGGGAAUAACAAUCGGAAACGGUUGCUAAUACCGCAUAAUGCAGCGGCACCUAAUGGUGACAGUUGUUAAAGCGGGGGAGUCGAAAGACCUCGCGUCUGAAGAGGAGCCUGCGGCGGAUUAGCUAGUUGGUAAGGUAACGGCUUACCAAGGCGACGAUCCGUAGCCGGCCUGAGAGGGCGGUCGGCCACACUGACACUGACAUACGGGUCAGACUCCUACGGGAGGCAGCAGUCGGGAAUUUUGGGCAAUGGGCGAAAGCCUGACCCAGCAACGCCGCGUGAAGGAUGAAAUCCCUCGGGAUGUAAACUUCGCAAG